rnacentral:misc_RNA from 1 species
AAGUCGUAACAAGGUAACCGUAGGUGAACCUGCGGUUGGAUCAUUACCAAUUUCGGUGGUGAUGGGGGGCCAAAUACCCCCAAUCACUUAAAAACACCGUCAAACCUUUUGUGAACUCGUAAUUGUCUUUGGUGGAUAGUGUCUCUAAUUGAGGAGUGCUCUAAAGCUGGUGCUAUAAAUUGCCCUUUAAUUGGGGAAUUAAGAUUAGCAAUUCCAGGCCACCUAUUAUGAACCAACCUUACUGUUUUUAAUUAUUUUGGUCUUUUAUAAUUUGCCUCUAAUUUAUUAGAGUUGAAUACAAAUUGAAAACAACUUUUGGCAACGGAUCUCUUGGCUCUC